GUUAAAACAUCGGCUCUCACACGAUCACUGAAGUUAAGCAACGUCGAGACCAGACAGUACCUAGAUGGGUGACCGUUUGGGAAUACCAGGUGCUGUAAG